rnacentral:rRNA from 1 species
ACCUACCUAAAAGUUUGGAAUAACUUGCCGAAAGGCGAGCUAAUACCGGAUAGAUCGAUUUUAUCGGGAAAGGGAGGUCGUAAGAUCCCCCGCUUUUAGAUGGGCCUGCGUCUCAUUAGCUAGAUGGUAGGGUAAAGGCUUACCAUGGCGACGAUGAGUAGCUGGUCUUAGAGGAUGAUCAGCCACACUGGAACUGAAACACGGUCCAGACUCCUACGGGAGGCAGCAGUGGGGAAUAUUGCGCAAUGGACGAAAGUCUGACGCAGCAACGCCGUGUGAGUGAAGAAGGCUCUUGGGUUGUAAAGCUCUGUCGGUGGGGACGAAAAUAUGCGGGUUCAUAGCCCGUAGACUGACGGUACCCACAAAGGAAGCACCGGCUAACUCCGUGCCAGCAGCCGCGGUAAUACGGAGGGUACAAGCGUUGUUCGGAAUUAUUGGGCGUAAAGGGGAGGUAGGUGGUCUUGUUUGUCGAGGGUGAAAUCCCAGGGCUUAACCCUGGACGUGCCUUCGAAACGGCAAGACUAGAGUGCUGGAGAGGUAUGUGGAAUUCCCGGUGUAGCGGUGAAAUGCGUAGAGAUCGGGAGGAACACCAGAGGCGAAGGCGGCAUACUGGACAGCUACUGACACUAAACUCCGAAAGCGUGGGGAGCAAACAGGAUUAGAUACCCUGGUAGUCCACGCCGUAAACGAUGGGUACUUGAUUUUGCGGGACUUGACCCCUGCAGAGUCGGAGCUAACGCGUUAAGUACCCCGCCUGGGGAGUACGGUCGCAAGACUAAAACUCAAAUGAAUUGACG